AAACCAUGAUGAGGACAUCUCCUUGGAGCUCCUUGAACCUAUCCCAUGUCUUAAAUAGAGAAUCCAAUUAUGUUUGCACAAAAGAGGAUAUUUCAUUCCUAAGAUU